rnacentral:rRNA from 1 species
ACUCCUACGGGAGGCAGCAGUGAGGAAUAUUGGUCAAUGGACGCAAGUCUGAACCAGCCAUGCCGCGUGCAGGAAGAAGGUCCUCUGGAUUGUAAACUGCUUUUGUCCGGGAAUAAAUCUGUCUUAAGAGGCAGUUGAAGGUACCGGGAGAAUAAGCACCGGCUAACUCCGUGCCAGCAGCCGCGGUAAU